rnacentral:rRNA from 1 species
UACGGAGGAUGCGAGCGUUAUCCGGAAUUAUUGGGUUUAAAGGGUGCGUAGGCGGCCAUUUAAGUCAGCGGUGAAAUUUUGCAGCUUAACUGUAACAGUGCCGUUGAUACUGUUUGGCUAGGAUUUGGUUGUAGUGUGCGGAAUGUGUGGUGUAGCGGUGAAAUGCUUAGAUAUCACACAGAACACCGAUUGCGAAGGCAGCACACUAAGUCAUUAUUGACGCUGAGGCACGAAAGUGUGGGGAUCAAACAGGAUUAGA